UGCUCCAACACACACCAUGAUCUCUACAUCCCUACUGCUGCUGCUGCUGGCAGCCGUACACUGUGUUCACAGUGUUGAGCUGAUCCAGACCGGAUCCACAGUAUUAACUCCUGGUCAGUCACUGACUCUGACCUGUAAAGUGUCUGGAUAUUCAGUAACUGAUGGCAGCUACUGUACAGAAUGGAUACGACAACCUGCAGGAAAAACUCUGGAAUGGAUCGGAUGGAUAUGUGGUAGUGGUAACACUUACUAUAGUGAGAAACUGAAAAGCAGGUUUCAGGUUUCCAGAGACACGUCCAGCAGCACAGUGACAUUAACAGGACAGAACAUGCAGACUGAAGACACAGCUGUGUAUUAUUGUGCUCGGCGACCACAGUGAGAGGAAUAAACAACAUCCCUGUACAAAAACUCCUCCUUCGAUGUUCACAAUAACAGAAUGUUUACAAGACACAACACUGAUCGAUCCAAGGAUAAAUAAAAAAAAAAGAUCCCACAAA